GACGAACGCUGGCGGCGUGCCUAAUACAUGCAAGUUGAGCGCUGAAGGUUGGUACUUGUACCGACUGGAUGAGCAGCGAACGGGUGAGUAACGCGUGGGGAAUCUGCCUUUGAGCGGGGGACAACAUUUGGAAACGAAUGCUAAUACCGCAUAAAAACUUUAAACACAAGUUUUAAGAUUGAAAGAUGCAAUUGCAUCACUCAAAGAUGAUCCCGCGUUGUAUUAGCUAGUUGGUGAGGUAAAGGCUCACCAAGGCGAUGAUACAUAGCCGACCUGAGAGGGGGAUCGGCCACAUUGGGACGGAGACACGGCCCAAACUCCUAAGGGAGGCAGCAGGAGGGAAUCUUCGGCAAUGGACGAAAGUCUGACCGAGCAACGCCGCGGGAGUGAAGAAGGGUGUCGGAUCGUAAAACUCUGUUGGUAGAGAAGAACGUUGGUGAGAGUGGAAAGCUCAUCAAGUGACGGUAACUACACAGAAAGGGACGGCUAACUACGUG
rnacentral:rRNA from 1 species